rnacentral:misc_RNA from 1 species
CAGAGUUAUCUAACUCCCAAACCAUUGUGAACUUACCAUAUGUUGCCUCGGCAGAACCUACCCUGUAGCGGGCUGCCGGCGGACCUCUAAACUCUUGUUAUACUAUUGUAAUCUGAGCGUCUUAUUUUAAUAAGUCA